rnacentral:rRNA from 1 species
GAGACAGCAGUCGCCGCGGUAAUACAGAGGGUGCGAGCGUUAAUCGGAUUUACUGGGCGUAAAGCGUGCGUAGGCGGCUUUUUAAGUCGGAUGUGAAAUCCCUGAGCUUAACUUAGGAAUUGCAUUCGAUACUGGGAAGCUAGAGUAUGGGAGAGGAUGGUAGAAUUCCAGGUGUAGCGGUGAAAUGCGUAGAGAUCUGGAGGAAUACCGAUGGCGAAGGCAGCCAUCUGGCCUAAUACUGACGCUGAGGUACGAAAGCAUGGGGAGCAAACAGGAUUAGAUACCCGCGUAGUCCCUGUCUCUUAUAC